AUCGCUUCUCGGCCUUUUGGCUAAGAUCAAGUGUAGAAACACUAUUUUGAAAGUUUCACACAUAUUUAAAUAGAUUACAGCCCAGCCAGCAUGCUCAAUGGUUGAGCAUCAACCUAUGAACCAGGAGGUUACAGUUCCAUUCCUGGUCAGGGCACAUGCC
rnacentral:snRNA from 1 species